rnacentral:rRNA from 1 species
GACGAACGCUGGCGGCGCGCCUAACACAUGCAAGUCGAACGAGAGAUGAGGAGCUUGCUCUUCAAAUCGAGUGGCGAACGGGUGAGUAACGCGUGAGGAACCUGCCUCAAAGAGGGGGACAACAGUUGGAAACGACUGCUAAUACCGCAUAAGCCCACGGCUCGGCAUCGAGCAGAGGGAAAAGGAGUAAUCCGCUUUGAGAUGGCCUCGCGUCCGAUUAGCUAGUUGGUGAGGUAAUGGCCCACCAAGGCGACGAUCGGUAGCCGGACUGAGAGGUUGAACGGCCACAUUGGGACUGAGACACGGCCCAGACUCCUACGGGAGGCAGCAGUGGGGAAUAUUGCACAAUGGGGGAAACCCUGAUGCAGCGACGCCGCGUGGAGGAAGAAGGUCUUCGGAUUGUAAACUCCUGUUGUUGAGGAAGAUAA